rnacentral:rRNA from 1 species
CUUGGCACACGUUACUUCGGCGAGUGGGCGGCAAAAGCUCAAAUUUGAAAUCUGGCACUUUCAGUGUCCGAGUUGUAAUUUGAAGAAGGUAUCUUUGGGUCUGGCUCUUGUCUAUGUUUCUUGGAACAGAACGUCACAGAGGGUGAGAAUCCCGUGCGAUGAGAUGACCCAGACCUAUGUAAAGUUCCUUCGAAGAGUCGAGUUGUUUGGGAAUGCAGCUCUAAGUGGGUGGUAAAUUCCAUCUAAAGCUAAAUAUUGGCGAGAGACCGAUAGCGAACAAGUACAGUGAUGGAAAGAUGAAAAGAACUUUGAAAAGAGAGUGAAAAAGUACGUGAAAUUGUUGAAAGGGAAGGGCUUGAGAUCAGACUUGGUAUUUUGUAUGUUACUCUUUCGGGGGUGGCCUCUACAGUUUACCGGGCCAGCAUCAGUUUGGGCGGUAGGAGAAUUGCAAAGAAAUGUGGCACUGCUUCGGUAGUGUGUUAUAGUCUUUGUCGAUACUGCCAGCCUAGACUGAGGACUGCGGCUUCGGCCUAGGAUGUUGGCAUAAUGAUCUUAAGUCGCCCGUCUAA